GCAAGUCGAGGGGUAACAGAUGAAGAGCUUGCUCAGAUUGCUGACGACCGGCGCACGGGUGAGUAACACGUAUGCAACCUACCUUUUACAGAGGGAUAGCCCAGAGAAAUUUGGAUUAAUACCUCAUGAUAUUUUUAACUCGCAUGAGUUUUAAAUUAAAACUUCGGUGGUAAAAGAUGGGCAUGCGUUCUAUUAGUUAGUUGGUAAGGUAACGGCUUACCAAGACUACGAUAGAUAGGGGUCCUGAGAGGGAGAUC
rnacentral:rRNA from 1 species